GACGAACGCUGGCGGCGUGCUUAAUACAUGCAAGUCGAACGCAGUGGGGAUGGGUGAGUAACACGUUGGUAACCUCCCAUCAGAGGGGAUAACACUUGGAAACAGGCGCUAAACCGCUACUGAUGGCUGGACCCGCUGUGCAUUAGCUAGUUGGUGAGGGAACGGCUCACCAAGGCCAAGAUGCAUAGCCGACCUGAGAGGGUGAUCGGCCACACUGGGACUGAGACACGGCCCAGACUCCUACGGGAGGAAGCAGUAGGGAAUCUUCGGCAAUGGACGAAAGUCUGACCGGGCAACGCCGCGUGAGGGAAGAAGGUUUUCGGAUCGUAAGACUCUGUUGUUAGAGAAGCGGUAUCUAACCAGAAAGCCACGGCUAACUACGUGCCAGCCGCCGCGGUAAUUC
rnacentral:rRNA from 1 species